GCCCCGGUAGCUCAGUGGUAGAGCACUUCCUUGGUAAGGAAGAGGUCGUCAGUUCGAUCCUGAUCCGGGGCU
rnacentral:tRNA from 1 species